rnacentral:rRNA from 1 species
AUGAACGCUGGCGGCGUGCCUAAUACAUGCAAGUCGAGCGAACGGACGAGAAGCUUGCUUCUCUGAUGUUAGCGGCGGACGGGUGAGUAACACGUGGAUAACCUACCUAUAAGACUGGGAUAACUUCGGGAAACCGUAGCUAAUACCGGAUAAUAUUUUGAACCGCAUGGUUCAAAAGUGAAAGACGGUCUUGCUGUCACUUAUAGAUGGAUCCGCGCUGCAUUAGCUAGUUGGUAAGUUAACGGCUUACCAAGGCAACGAUGCAUAGCCGACCUGAGAGGGUGAUCGGCCACACUGGAACUGAGACACGGUCCAGACUCCUACGGGAGGCAGCAGUAGGGAAUCUUCCGCAAUGGGCGAAAGCCUGACGGAGCAACGCCGCGUGAGUGAUGAAGGUCUUCGGAUCGUAAAACUCUGUUAUUAGGGAAGAACAUAUGUGUAAGUAACUGUGCACAUCUUGACGGUACCUAAUCAGAAAACCACGGCUAACUACGUG